rnacentral:lncRNA from 1 species
GUUGGUCUUCUCUCUCUCUCUCUUUUGCUCUUUUAGCUACAUCCAGUGUCAACAGUGUGUCGGCACUGAAAGGAGUGGAAAGCACUGAAUCCACUGUUACUAGAAGGAUGAGCAGUGGAUCCAAUGUUACCAGUAACGCCAACGAUGAAGCAGGAGUGAAUCAGACCAUCACUUCAUCCAAUGUAUACAGUGCGUUUGUAAGAAGUCGCACUGAGACUGGGUUAAUAUUACAAUGGAACAAAGUGAACAACAGCAGCAGUUACAGUUACAGACUGAACUACAAUGGAAUAAACAUUAAUAUCAAUGGAUCAGAGGGAGGAUCUGUAGUGAACUACACAUUCUCAUCUCUUUCUCCUGGAACUAAAUACACCUUCACUCUCUACACUGUAUUUGAAGGAGUGGAGAGCAGUGGAUUUAACUUUGCCAGUGUCACCAGUAAGUACAGCCAUGACAUUAGAGC